CGUGUAGGCGGUCUUGCAAGUCGGAAGUGAAAUUCCCGGGCUUAACCCGGGCGCUGCUCCCGAAACUGCGAGACUUGAGUACUGGAGAGGAUAGUGGAAUUCCUAGUGUAGCGGUAAAAUGCGUAGAUAUUAGGAGGAACACCGGUGGCGAAGGCGGCUAUCUGGACAGUAACUGACGCUGAGGCGCGAAAGCGUGGGGAGCAAACA
rnacentral:rRNA from 2 species